ACGCACGCUGGCGGCGUGCUUAACCCAUGCCAGUCGCACGGAAAGGCCCUGCUUGCAGGGUACUCGAGUGGCGAACGGGUGAGUAACACGUGGGUGAUCUGCCCUGCACUUCGGGAUAAGCCUGGGAAACUGGGUCUAAUACCGGAUAGGAGCCAUUUUUAGUGUGAUGGUUGGAAAGUUUUUUCGGUGUAGGAUGAGCUCGCGGCCUAUCAGCUUGUUGGUGGGGUAAUGGCCUACCAAGGCGGCGACGGGUAGCCGGCCUGAGAGGGUGGACGGCCACAUUGGGACUGAGAUACGGCCCAGACUCCUACGGGAGGCAGCAGUGGGGAAUAUUGCACAAUGGGCGCAAGCCUGAUGCAGCGACGCCGCGUGGGGGAUGACGGCCUUCGGGUUGUAAACUCCUUUCGCUAGGGACGAAGCUUUUUGUGACGGUACCUAGAUAAGAAGCACCGGCUAACUACGUG
rnacentral:rRNA from 1 species